rnacentral:lncRNA from 1 species
ACAAUAUUACCAAGCAAAAGUGCGAGAUAACAUAUUUUAUAGCUCCGAAAAAUUUAAUCGAGAUCCGAGACGGAUCGGUUGCAGUUUUGUAUAAUUACUUAUAUAGGAGAUGAUCAUGAACUUGACCAAAUCUCUGUGAUGUGAUUAUGGAUGUAUUUGGAUGUUUUUGUGAUGACGUGAUGUAUUUUUUUGUGGGUGUAAUUUAUGCAAUUAUUUGUUAUUUAGUUUCCGGUAUUUGUAAAUUGUAGUGUUUCAGAGCUUUGGAUAGGAUUGGCUUCAGUGUUAGUGACUAGUCGACACAUCUGGAGAGUGUCGGACUGAGUCGGAGUCGUUUCUGCGCGAAAUGGAUGCAGAAAUGGACUCGGCGCACUCAAAUAAGCAAAACUGGAGUUUUGCCAGAUUCGGGAGCCCAGAACAGGUUUUGGGUCGCCCAGAAGUUGAGUGCAGAUUUGAUCAGAACUGAAAGCCAAUUCGGGUCCAUGUUUCGGGCGCCCGAAAGUGGGUCUGAAAAUUUCACAUCGUUGAAUAU